AGUGAACGCUGGCGGUAGGCCUAACACAUGCAAGUCGAACGGCAGCACAGUAAGAGCUUGCUCUUACGGGUGGCGAGUGGCGGACGGGUGAGGAAUACAUCGGAAUCUACUUUUUCGUGGGGGAUAACGUAGGGAAACUUACGCUAAUACCGCAUACGACCUACGGGUGAAAGUAGGGGAUCUUCGGACCUUGCGCGAUUGACUGAGCCGAUGUUGGAUUAGAUAGUUGGCGGGGUAAAGGCCCACCAAGGCGACGAUCCGUAGCUGGUCUGAGAGGCUUAUCAGCAGCAUUGGAACGGUGACACGGUCCAGACUCCUACGGGAGGCACCAGUGUGGAAUAUUGGACAAAGGGCGCAAGCCUGAUCCAGCCAUACCGCGUGGGGGAAGAUGGCCUUCGGGUUGUAAAGCCCUUUUGUUGGGAAAGAAAAGCAGCAGGUUAAUACCCCGCUGUUCUGACGGUACCCAAAGAAUAAGCACCGGCUAACUUCGUG
rnacentral:rRNA from 1 species